rnacentral:lncRNA from 1 species
CUCAUUGAUCCCUCAUUUUAGUAUGCCCUGCCCCCAACAUCCUGUUUAAUCAGGAAAUAUAAUCACAUUCAGGAAGUAAGAUUCUUCCAAAACUGGCACUUCACUGGAAUUCAAAAUGCCAUUAAACAUUUUUAUACCACGUGUAAGUAACAUGAAGUCACUGCAAGUCCACUUGUUUCCUGCAGAGCCGAGCGGUGACGGACGUGAUUAAGUUCAUGAGAGCUCAACAAGCUUCUCCACUGUGGUUUGUAUCCAUCAACAGCCAACCUGAUUUGGGGGCUUCAUUUUCCCCAGAGAUGUGUUUGUAGUUUCACCUGCUGAUGGAUUUGAAAAUGGACAAGAAAUUGAUUCCAGACUUUUAAAGCUUCCAAGUUCUUUACAACUUUCAACAAUCCCAGAGUUCACCUGUGCAAUCACAAGUACGCUCUGAAUUCAUUUAAAGAUAAUGUGUGAGGGUUUGGAUUGAAUUAAUUUUUUAGUGAAUGCUACUGAGUUUGUUGUCUUGCUGUUCAUUAGAAUGACUGUUUGGCUUUUGUUUGUAUGGCUGUUUAUUGGUUAUUUGUUUACUGGGGGAUCUGUUGACAUGGUAAGAACUUGAAGGUAACACGGUUGCCUAAUCUUCUAACUUUGUACCUGUUUUCCAAAACAAACAACAGAAAAAAGACUCCACCGUCUGUCUGUUCUGACUGUCUUUCCUCUGCAGGCUUGGGGAGGGUGAGACAGUUCACCUGGACUCUAUGGGGAGAAAGAUGAACUCUUCUGGUCUACCAUCUGCUCACCAGUCCACCUUUGGAACGCUCCCCUGGUCCCGUCAAGCUCUUGGCCUCAUCCUCCCCGACUGAAGAUCAGCCAGAUAACAUUACCUCCUGACCAAUCAGGCGCCUGGAUCCAUACCUCAUCCCACAGCACCAGAUGGAGGGAGUAUUUCCACAUUGGCAAACACAGAGAGUACCUGCAACUUUCUGCCAAUCUGAACAUCAAAGCAUUGUACUCUCCUGGGGUUGACAGCGUAUUUGGAACAAUUCAAGUUAUCAUGAUGCAAUAAGAACCGCCCAUCCGGUGAUUAAAAACCAACCAAAUUAUUAGUUUCAAGCCCGACUUUGUGUCUUCUUGAACCGUGGCCCUGUGCUGGAUGGUGUGCUGCAAGGAUGAAGUCAUACUUCUCACAGUGUGUGAGAGAGAGUUUCACUUCCUACCUUUGGAAGAGAAAGAGGUUAGCCUGACAGCUUGAUGGAUGGUCUUUUUUUGUACAUGCUGCUUGCGGAAUACGAUGAUUUCAUGUGGUUGUGAGACCGCGGUGUUCUUGUUGCUUUGGAGCGCUGCAGCAAUUAGCACAGUCACCCAUUACAUUCACUGUAUGAUAGGGCUGCAGUGUGUCUAAGUGGGUGUGUACAUUUGAAAUGAGAGUUUUGGUAUGUGUGUAUUUGUCGAUGUGAAUGUCAAACCUCACGGGACAUAAUUUAAAAACCACACUUGUAGUUUCAUAAGACUACUUUGGCAAAUGUUUGCAAUGACAAGUGAAAUACGUGUUUAAGCUUUGCCAGUAAACAGUUCAGAGCUGCUCAUUGCAUGAAACAAAACAGCAUCCCAUGAAUUAUUGGAUUUCAUUUUGCUGUAUGAAAUUAAGAAACUAUCCACUCCCAUAAUAACUCAAACUAAAAGCGGAUUUACUGCAGUUUGACUGUUUGAAGAAAAAUGGUAAGUGAUGUGAUCGUCAUGAGAUACAAACAACAUCAACCUCAUCUGCAUAUAUGUACUAACUUCCUACAAAAACCAGAAUAGACAAUCUUCUCCAGUGAAAACAGGAAUGGUUGUUCAGCUUCAAACAACUUACACUCUAUUCACUGUUCCCGCAGACAAACGCACAUCCUCCUAUACAGACACUCAGUGUUGAAUAAACAGAACC